AUUGAACGCUGGCGGCAGGCCUAACACAUGCAAGUCGAACGAGUGGCGGACGGGUGAGUAAUGUCUGGGAAACUGCCUGAUGGAGGGGGAUAACUACUGGAAACGGUAGCUAAUACCGCAUACCAUCGGAUGUGCCCAGAUGGGAUUAGCUAGUAGGUGGGGUAACGGCUCACCUAGGCGACGAUCCCUAGCUGGUCUGAGAGGAUGACCAGCCACACUGGAACUGAGACACGGUCGAGAAUCCUACGGAAGGCAGCAGUGGGGAAGAUUGCACAAUGGGGGCAAGCCUGAUGCAGCCAUGCCGAGUGUAUGAAGAAGGCCGUCGGGGUGUAAAGUACUUGCAGCGGGGAGGCGUUACCCGCAGAAGAAGCACCGGCUAACUACGUGCCAGCAGCCGCGGUAAUUC
rnacentral:rRNA from 1 species